rnacentral:tRNA from 2 species
AGAGAUAUAGCUCAGUUGGUUAGAGCACCACCCUGAUAAGGUGGGGGUCGGUGGUUCGAGUCCACUUAUCUCUACCA